UACGUAGGGUGCAAGCGUUGUCCGGAAUUAUUGGGCGUAAAGAGCUCGUAGGCGGUCUGUCGCGUCGGCUGUGAAAACCCGGGGCUCAACCCCGGGCCUGCAGUCGAUACGGGCAGACUAGAGUGCGGUAGGGGAGGCUGGAAUUCCUGGUGUAGCGGUGAAAUGCGCAGAUAUCAGGAGGAACACCGGUGGCGAAGGCGGGUCUCUGGGCCGUAACUGACGCUGAGGAGCGAAAGCGUGGGGAGCGAACAGG
rnacentral:rRNA from 1 species